rnacentral:rRNA from 1 species
AUUGAACGCUGGCGGCAGGCCUAACACAUGCAAGUCGAGCGAGCGGCGGCCGGGUGAGUACUGUCUGAGGAACUGCCCGAUGGAGGGGGAUAACUACUGGAAACUGUAGCUAAUACCGCAUACUAUCGGAUGAACCCAUAUUGGAUUAGCUUGUUGGUGGGGUAAAGGCUCACCUAGGCGCAGAUCCCUAGCUGGUCUGAGAGGAUGACCAGCCAAACUGGAACUGAGACACGGCCCAGACUCCGAUGGGAGGUAGCAGUGGGGAAUAUUGCACAAUGGGCGCAAGCCUGAUGCAGCCAUGCCGCGUGUAUGAAGAAGGCCUUAGGGUUGUAAAGUACUUUCAGCGUGGAGGCGUUACCCGCAGAAGAAGCACCGGCUAACUCCGUGCCAGCAGCCGCGGUAAUUC